rnacentral:misc_RNA from 1 species
GAUGAAGAACGCAGCGAAAUGCGAUAAGUAAUGUGAAUUGCAGAAUUCAGUGAAUCAUCGAAUCUUUGAACGCACAUUGCGCCCGCCAGUAUUCUGGCGGGCAUGCCUGUCCGAGCGUCAUUUCAACCCUCGAACCCCUCCGGGGGGUCGGCGUUGGGGACCUCGGGAGCCCCUAAGACGGGAUCCCGGCCCCGAAAUACAGUGGCGGUCUCGCCGCAGCCUCUCCUGCGCAGUAGUUUGCACAACUCGCACCGGGAGCGCGGCGCGUCCACGUCCGUAAAACACCCAACUUCUGAAAUGUUGACCUCGGAUCAGGUAGGGAUACCCGCUGAACUUAAGCAUAUCAAAAGCGGAGGA